AACGAACGCUGGCGGCAGGCUUAACACAUGCAAGUCGAGCGCCCCGCAAGGGGAGCGGCAGACGGGUGAGUAACGCGUGGGAAUCCACCCAUCUCUACGGAAUAGCGCAUGGAAACGUGUGCUAAUACCGUAUACGUCCUUCGGGAGAAAGAUUUAUCGGAGAUGGAUGAGCCCGCGUUGGAUUAGCUAGUUGGUGGGGUAAAGGCCUACCAAGGCGACGAUCCAUAGCUGGUCUGAGAGGAUGAUCAGCCACACUGGGACUGAGACACGGCCCAGACUCCUACGGGAGGCAGCAGUGGGGAAUAUUGGACAAUGGGCGCAAGCCUGAUCCAGCCAUGCCGCGUGAGUGAUGAAGGCCCUAGGGUUGUAAAGCUCUUUCACCGGUGAAGAUAAUGACGGUAACCGGAGAAGAAGCCCCGGCUAACUUCGUGCCAGCCGCCGCAGUAAAAC
rnacentral:rRNA from 1 species